UUUCUGCUUCCCCAAACGGUACACAUAUCCUAUCAAUGCCUCUGCUCGCUCGGAAAAACCUUUUUCUCUCUUUCUUUUCCCGACUCUGUGUCGCGAAAUAUAUCGCAGAUUACCUAAUCAUUCUCGCCGCUUUUUAAAUAGCCGUAUAUAGACCAAGUCCUCCUGAAAAGUAGUCGUUAUGUUUGAGGAUAUUUACAGAAAUUUUCAUCUUUCAAUUACACUCAAGGCAACAGAAUUUCCGAUUUCUUUAUUUUUUCCGAUCAGAUUCAUGUUUUUUGGGAAGGGGGAGAUUAGUUGGCCUAUCAAAGCUAUAAUCAACUGUAUUGGGGAAAAAAGGCCUCUUCAGCUGAGACCAUCUCUUUCUAAAGCCGUGUGUUUUCCACUCAACAGUGCAGUCUGUAUUUUGAAGAUAUCCAGUUUGACUUUCUUUUCUCUCUCUAUCACUCUUUUUUUUAAAAAAAAAUUCCUACAAGCGACCACUAAAUGCAUUCAGUGACCUGCAGGUUUAGCCUGGACCACGCUUAAAGUUCCCGGCUGUAACUUUGGAAUGAUAGUGUCUGCUUAAGGUCAGUCAAAUAAGGCAAUGUUUUGUUGUCAUUCUGGUCAACGUUUCUCGGGGAAAAGUCUUUUCUUGAAAGUCAAGAUACGGUAGCCAAGUAGUUCGAGGCAGAAGACGCAGGCUGUCUCCGUCUUCCCUAAAAUGCAUGUCUGCUCUGUGCAGCGCUGCUCAGACUCUCAGGCUGUCCGUGUACAAGGUCCUGCUGAUCCGCUCCUGUCACGAAGGAGACCCUGGGCUCCGUUUUUCCCUCAACAAACCACAUUCUCAUUGCACACACCGCGCUCGCAAACACAAACCCGCUCAUGCACGCACGCACACACACAACACACGUCGAUCGAUUUGCAUGUGACUCCGUCAGUGAAUGAGCGAGAAUCGACUUAAAAACAACGCUUGAAAGAGGCAAACCGCUAUGAAAAAUAAAAAAGAAAAGAUGGACAAAGUGGGGUAAAGGGGGGAAAGUGUAGCUAGAGGAACUAAGGCAGGGCGGAGGGAUUGCCCAUUUCAGACAGAGACGUGUCGGAGAAGAACAAAAAUGUCUUUAUCCAGAAGAGGAUUUUAUAAGCACACGACGUUGGUGAAACCCCGUGGAUGUGGCAAGUGUCAAAUCUGUCAAAAUUUAGAAAGCGAGAGAUGUUCCCAUCUGCCGGACACACACGGACCCCACUAGCUGGACUUGGAGCUCCUUUUCUGGGCAGCGCUCAUGUGGAGCUGCCGCUGCCCUUCGUCCGCCGCUCAGCACAGCCCUCUCUCAUUGCAUUUGUGCCUCAAAACACGUUUCUCGACAACCACAAACCCUCUACACCUUUCCCCGAUCCCACCGAAAAGCACACAUUUGUUUUAAAACCGUGCUUUUUUUUUAUCCCCCCCCUCUCUCCACGAUCAACUGCUUGGAGUGGAUCGCUGUCUUGCCUAUUUCUUAUCUUCCAUUCAUGAGGAGGAGAGGACGGACGCUGAUGUAAACACAGACUUGUGAGGACUCUGAUGCUGAGCGACACUUCUGGAUCCUUCAUCUUCAGCAGAACCAGACUCUCCGCUGGUCGGGAUGAAGAGCUAUAGGCUUCAACAGGCAGCAGACUACUGGCCAACAUCUCCAGGCUUCUUUGAUGUGGGAGGCAUUGCUUACCCCUAUAACUUACAGCCCAGCUCUGCAGGGACUUAUUUUUAUAACCUCCAUUAUUUUCUAUCAUAAAUAUUCAAAUCCAGAUCUUAAAUCCAGAGCUUAGUGAGGAGAAUAGCCAAAAACAACAUGCAGCUCUUCAGCUUCCCCUAGCUCUCGCUCUUCUAUAGAAAAUCAUUAUGAAGAUUAAUACAGAAAUCAAACAGAAUGCUGAGACGAGACUGCAGGACGCAGUAAAAUAAUGCACUCGAGAUGGAAUUUUUGGUCAAGGAUCUCUGGCUUUUUUGUUCUUUGUUUGUUUGAGUAUUUUGACACAUUCUGCAUUUCCUCCUUUUGGCUGUGAAUUAAUAUUUGCAGCUUGAAUAUUAAUCCUGAUUCAGUAGUGGAUUAGUUUGCCAUUGUCCCCUCUGUGCUGAGCCCUAAAUAAAGGCGCUGACAUGGAGAGGAAAUCUAUACCUCUCUGCCCUGCAAACAAAGACCUCUGCACCCAGAGAUAACACAUGUCCCUGCAAUGCAGACCCCCCCGCCUCCAACUACAACUCUACCCAUGUGCUGGAUCCUACCAUCUCCCUUUCACUUUUCUUUCUCCUUCAACCCUCAAUUCCACAUUUUCCACAUUUCCCUUCCUCUCACCACUCUCUUCCUCCCCGUCUCUUUCUCUCUCCCCCAGAAAAACUUUGCCAUGGUAGAUUUGCAAGGCAAUUGUGCCCUUAAACCGCGCCUCUUCCUCAGCUUAUACCAUGCAUUUUCCAGAGUUUAUCAAAGAAUACAAUGGGGUUAUGCUUUCACCAUUAUUCUCCAGGCAAGAACAGUAAUUUAAAUGCACCAGUACUACUGAAGCAGGGCGCAGCCCUGCUGUCUCACUAUGGAACAGAGAGAGAUGAAAAUGCGUUACAAAAAACGCACAGCAUUACUUUGUUGACCUUUCCUGUUCUCAUAGUUUACAAACAGCUGUGAAGCUCCUUCCUCUGGGCUCUUUGUACAUCAGAGACUGGGACUGAUGGAGGCACGCCAUGCUUAAAUGAAGGGCUUUUUCUAACUUGCCUCCGUUGUGGCUCACAAACACAAUUUAACAAAUACACAUUUACUUUAUUUCUGCCACCAAAGCAGUUGCCAAAGCGAAGGAGGAAAUACAUGCUGAAACAGAUACUGCGUCCUUUCAUGUAUGUAUACUGUGCAUAUCAUAGCAGACAGUCUAUUUAAAAACAAAAGGAAAAAAAUCUAAACAUACAUAGAUCUCAAAACACCCACCCACACAUAUUACGAUUUAUUUUCCCAUCCGUUGCAGUCGCAUCAGUGGGCAAUUUUUAAACAGCGUUCCAUUUUUACGGCGAACACAGCUAAAGCUGUACUGUUAUUUUUUGAUGCCACUAAAUGUGCGCGCCACAGUUCAUCUCAGACUUUCAAAUGAGCUCCAACACACUGUCCUCAAUGACACUAAUCAGCACGUAACUGCCAGUUCAUAGGAUGAGAUGUAUUGUGCACAGACACACGUGUGUUUUAUCAUGCUAUCGUGAAAGCAAACGGGAGCGUCGAGUACCGUGUUUCGAACGGUGGUUCUACACAUGUGCCCUGAGGCUGAAUGCCAGGUGAAUAUUAACAGCGAGCUGCGUGAGGGGAAGAAGAUGCAUAGGACGCAGGAUCACAAGGAGACAAAGUUAGAGAUGAAAAAAAAAAAGGAAGAAGGAAGAAAAACAACAGAAGGAUUGAGGUGGAUGAGAAGUGAGGGGAACAUAAAGGGAGCAAUAAUAAAGGAAAGUGGGACUGAAAACAGUAAAAUAUAACAAGAGGAGAAAAACGUGGACGACUGCAACAGACAGCUGGACAUGGACCGGGCCGGUCUGCAGACCUGGUCAGACUGAUGAGAACAGGCAGCAAUAGUGAUGCCAUUAUGUCGUUAAUCAAUCCACUGGUGUCUGCUUGUCUGGGUGGGCAGAUACUCACAGUCUAGAAGGGGUUAAUGGGAAAUCAAUGAGAGGGAUGUGCUUAUGAGCAGGACAAGGGGAAAGAGGGACAGGGGGGAGAGGCAGAAGGGCGGGGAGGGGGAGAUAGGAACAUUGUUUCCUGUGAUAGCAGCAGUCUUCCCAGAUGUUAUCUGUCAUUCAAAGAAACACUCUGGUGACCAGAUGUUUAGGCUCAUCGUGGUGGAGUGGGUACACAUCCUAGUGGGGGAUCAAUAUAGGUCAAGUACAUGGUAAUAUUUAUCACUACGCUGCACACACACACACACACACACACACAAGGCGCUGAUGUCUCUACAACAGAGAGACUUGUGCUGUGAAGAAAACUAUGCACUUGGAAUAAAAUAAAAUAAAAUAAAAUAAAAUAAAAAAGCACAGCCUUCUGAUAUGUUUGUUUCAAGAGCCUA